UACGUAGGUGGCAAGCGUUGUCCGGAAUUAUUGGGCGUAAAGCGCGCGCAGGCGGUCCUUUAAGUCUGAUGUGAAAGCCCACGGCUCAACCGUGGAGGGUCAUUGGAAACUGGGGGACUUGAGUGCAGGAGAGAAGAGUGGAAUUCCACGUGUAGCGGUGAAAUGCGUAGAGAUGUGGAGGAACACCAGUGGCGAAGGCGACUCUUUGGCCUGUAACUGACGCUGAGGCGCGAAGGCCAGGGGAGCAAACGGG
rnacentral:rRNA from 1 species